UUUUUGUAUUUUUGUAGAGACAGGUUUUCCCCAAGUUGGCCAGGCUGGUCUCGAACUCCUGACCUCAGGUGAUCCACCCGUCUCAGCCUCCCAAAGUGCUGGGAUUACAGGUGUGAGCCACCACACCCGGCCUAGGACUCGUACUUUACCUUGGCAUUCAAGGCCUUGGGUCACCAGCACUCCCACCCAACUUUCCCUUCCCGUGCUCCUCCCACCUCCAUUGUGGUCCACUGGUCCCUCAGUGGCCCCAAACCCACUCACUGCUGCAUUUCCCUUCAGAAUGGCCCAUCUCCAAGUCCAUCACUCAUUUGACAAAUAUUUAGUGAGCACCAACUAUGUGCCAGACAGUGUCCUAGGUGCCAAGGACUCUGGUGAGCAAGACUAACUCUUGGGAGUUUAUAUUCUAAUCUGGGAGAUGGGCAGCCUACUGCUGCGCUGUGUAGCACAAUAUGGUUUGAUGUGCUAUAUGAUGGGUGAAUAUAUCACAAGACAAUGGAGUGUGGGGGCAUGAUCAGUGCUACAAAGAACGAAGCAGGGUCAUGGGAUAGAGAGAACGGCAGGUGGGGAAGGCAACAUUUUCUGUCAUGUAGGUGGGCCUUUCUGAGGAGGUGAUAUUUAAGAAGAGAAUGGAAUGCAGUUAGAGUGUAAACCAUGCAGAUAUCUUGUAGGAAGAGCAUUGCAGGCAGAUGGUAGAGCCAGUGCAGAGGCCCUGAGGUGGGAGCAAGGUUGGUAUGUUCAAGGAUGAUCUAGAAGGCCAAAGAAGCCAAUGAAAAGGCCUCACUGAAGCCUCCAGUGAAGAAGCAGAGGGUAGCAGGGCAUCUGGUGAGGCUCUUGUGGGCCCCAGUGAAGUGUUUAGGUUUUAUUCUAAAUAUGAGGAGAAGCUGUUGGCAUGCUGUGAUCUGAUAUAAAGAAAAAUCCUUCGGCCAAGCGCUGUGGCUCACGCUUGUAAUCCUAGCACUUUGGGAGGCCGAGGUAGGCGGAUCACCUGAAGUCAAGAGUUCAAGUCCAGCCUGGCCAACAUGGCGAAAACCCGUCUCUACUAAAAAUACAAAAAAAAAAAAAAAAAAUUAGCCAGGCAUGGUGGCGUGCACCUGUAAUCCCAGCUACUCAGGAGGCGCAGGCAGGGGAAAUCACUUGGAUCCAGGAUGCAGAGAUUGCAGUGAGCCGAGAUGGUGCCACUGCCCUCUAGUCUGGGUAACAGAGCGAGACUCUGUCUCAAAAAUAAAAAUAAAAAUGGCUGGGCACAGUGGCUCAUGCCUGUAAUCCCAGCACUUUAGCCAAGGCGGGCGGAUCACUUGAGGUCAAGAGUUCAAGACCAGCCUGGCCAAUAUGUUGAAACCCUGUUACUACCAAAAAUACAAAAAUUAGACGGGUGUGGUGGCAGGUGCCUGUAAUCCCAGCUCCUCGGGUGGCUGAGGCAGGAGAAUCACUUGAACCCAGGAGACGGCGGAGAUUGCAGUGAGCUGAGAUUGCACCAUUGCACUCCAGCCUGGGCAUUGCAGCGAGACUCUGUCUCAAAAAAAAAAAAGAAAAGAAAAAUCUUUCUGAGUCCAUGGGGUGCUAUGGAGAAGAAUAAAAUAUUGACUCACAGGCACCCCAUGCUACAGCUUACUAAGGGAUAUUCAGGCAUUUCAUAUCCAUUUUCUCAUUCAAGCUUCACAAGAACCUCAGGCAUGGUAAACUGAGGCUCAGAGAAAUUAUGUGACUCGCCUAAAGCCACAUCGCUAGAAAAUGGCCAAGCCAAGGCUUGAACCAAAUCUAACUGGCCACAGGCAGGCCAUGGCACGGGUGAACCCUGGGUGAUUCCAAGCUGGGUCCGCACCUCUGGGCCUGGCUCACCCUCCACAGCCGGAGGGAGUGGCUGGCCUGGCCUCAGGGUCUGACUGGGAGCAUGGCACCCACAUCCCUGGUCUGGCAACCCUGACUCUAGGUGGCCCAUAAUGCUCCUCACCUCCAUGCUUUCCUCCUGGGAGAGGCCCCGGGUGAUGGCAU
rnacentral:lncRNA from 10 species